CAUGUAGUUGUAACUACAUACAAUCAAACAAAUUCUUACAGAAUGUUUGGCUCAUAAUUGGAAUAAGAAUGAAAAAUAGAAUUGAAUUGUAUUCGAAUGAAAAAUAGAAUGACGAAUCAUACAAAAAUAUUUGGUUCAUUAUUGGAAUAGAAAUCAAAAUGGACAUCUAGAAUUUUGAGAAAUGAUUCUGAUCAAGAGAGAGGAGAGUGAUGAAGGAAGAGGAGAGAGGGGUGUUUGUGUGAGAGAGUUUUAAAUGGUUUACUUUGAAAUGCACCAAUCCAGAAUUCAAAACUAGAUUAGACCAUAUAUGGAUUGGAUCAUUUUCAUUCUAGAAUGGAAUGAAAAUGAAAAUUCAAAUUCAUGUAUAACAAAUAAUAACUAUGAAAUCAAUGAAUCUCAUUCUGAUUCUAUAGUUUAAAAUAGAUGAAUCAAACAAGCCCGUAAUGCAGUUGGCUAAGAAAUUGAUUAUUUAUAUUCGAGGUCCACUAUCAUCCUAACUACACAUCUCUUCAUUCAAAGGCCGAAAACCUAAUAGUGCACCAAUGACUCUGAGUAGGGCUAUUGUGCUAUUAGGAACACAGCAGCUCUUAUGUUUCUAACUUUCUAACCAUCCAUCAAUUUUGAUAGGUCAUUAGAACAAGAGAGAGAAGAAAAAUUGGGAGAAAUUGGGUGUCUCAAUUUAUCUUCUUUUUGAAUUUCUCUCCAAUUUCUUUUUUUUCUCAUCUUAAUCACUCAUCAAAAUUAAUAGGUGGUUAAAAAGUUAGGAGCAUAAGGGCUGUUGUUCCUAAUAGCACAGUAACCCUACUCUAUAUAUAUACUAUUUCAAAUCCUGAGAUGUCUCAUAGAUCACGCCAAUUUUGAUUAAUAUAUAUAUAAUUUUUUUAUGAUUUUACUGACUAAUGGAAAACAUAUUUCAAUAUAUCUUCGGCUUAGCUCUGUUUCGUCUAAUAGUGUCAGACGGUAUCUUAAUGCCUUCAUCAGGUUUAUGUCGUCUCUACUUCUUCUUGUUUUUUUUUUUUUUUUUUUUUUUUUGAGAGAUAGAUAUCACUCUAUCCGCUUCGUUUAUUUUAUUUCGAAAUAAACUUAGCUAUAAGUGUGAAUCAACUAUAAUUCAAACUUGGGUCUCGAGUAUCAACCAAUAAGUUUUUUUGCCACUUGCUUUAGUGACGGCCGGUUGUGUUAAUUUAUUAGUUUCAAGUAAUGUGAACAGGUGAAUCUUAAUCAUUNAGUGGGUGGUUGGUUAAAUAGUUUAAUCUAAUGGUUGAAAAUGAUCCGAGGAGUAGAUCUCACGGUAAAAAACUUGCAAACAUCAAGUGCUUGGUGCUUUUACAAGCACCAUAGCUGGACUCUCUCUCUCUCUCUCUCUCUCUAUAUAUAUAUAUAUAUCAUAUGAAGUCUCUUGUGAUAUUCUCUAUAUUUCAUUUUCGAAAAAAAAAAAAACUAAAUGAGUUCCUUUUAUUAUUAUUAUUAUUAUUGUUAUUUUGAAGUAGGGAGGGAAUCAAAAGAGAGUUUACUAAAACAAUCAACUACCCUCACAAGCCAUAUGCAACUAGGUAAAGCAAAACAAGUAGCCAAAUAAAUAAGGUUGGCGAGCAUAAUUAUCCUCUAAAAAAAGAUAUUAUUUAUGAGAAAAUUAAAAAAUAUAUAAUCUAAGAGUUAUCUAAGGAGAGUUGACAAUGCGAGAAAAUUCCUUGUUUUUUCAUUUUAACUCUUUUUUCUUAAGAAAAGAGAACAUUCCUUUUAUAUGCUGAAAUGUCAACGUGCAAGUCAACUAUCAUUCAAGCUUGUGCAGAUAUUAUUUUACGUUCUAUAUAUGUACAUGCAAAUUGAAGUUCAAAAAAUUAUAGCAAGAGAUGCUAAAGGAGAGAUGAUUAUGUUAAUUAAAUAUGUUAAAGCGUAUUUCUCUCUUUGAGCUUAAGUUUAUGAGCGUGUUUGGUUUGACAAUUUUUCAACCAGGAAUUUGAAUUCAGAAUGAAAAUGGAUUGCUUCGUUUGUAUAUGUGACAUCCCCAAUAGUCCCACAUCGGAUGGGAUAUUGAUUCCGAUCAGUUUAUAUGAGACCUACACGCUAAUAAUAAUAAUCGGACUUAAGCAUUUUGGGUCGGUGAUUUAGGCCCAACGAGUUAUUAUUACUAGCGGGUCGGGUCGUUGCAAUUGAUAUUAGAGCCGAAUACCAGCCGGAAGUAUGCGGGACAAAGUGCUACACCAACGGGUUUUGGUGGGAGCCACCUCUUGAAUCCGUAGGAGCCACCUCUAGAAUCUCACAUUGCCUGGUAAUGGUCCUAGUAUGUCUGUGAUCUGAUUUGGACCCGACGAGGACGUCAGGAUCUAAACAGGGGGAGAGUUUGUAACACUCCCAAUAGUCCCACAUCGGAUGGGAUACUGUCUGAUUAUAGUCCCACAUCGGAUGGGAUACUGAUUACUGAUUCUAAUAAUAAUCGGACUUAAGCAUUUUGGGUCGAUGGUUUGGGCUCAACAAGUUAUUGUUGCUAGCGGGUCGGGUCGUUGCUAUGUAUGUUUGGUAUACGAGAGUUUCGAUUCUUGUUUCCGAAUGAACUUGCUUUGAAAGUACCACAGUUAUAUUUUAUCUUUUUAUUUAAUUUUUUAGUUUUUAUUUUUAAUUAAAAUAUAUGUCAAAAUUUAGUUUUUCAAUUUUAUAUCUUGAUAAGAACUUGAUGUGAAAUUUAAAUUCGAUCAAGCAUUUUGAAUUUGAAUUUUAUUUGAAUUAAUUUUUUAUAACAAUUAUUUUCCCAUCUCAACUAAAUAGCAUAGAUGGGAAUCAACUACUCCAAUUUGGAAUGUUAUUCUAAACCAAAUAUAUAAAGGGAAUUUAUUAUUCCGUUCUAUUCCAUUUCUAUUGGAAUAUACACUGCCGAAUGUGUGUGGCAAAUAUAUCAUUCCUAUUGGAUUUUAUCAUUCGGUUCUAUUCCAUUUCCCCUCCGUGCAAAUAUAUCAUUCCUAUAUAUAUAUAAUAUAUUAUAUAGGGCAUGUUUGGUUCGAAGUCGGAGUCGGAACUGGAAUCGGAAUCAAAAUAAGUUGGAUCGGAAUCGGAAUAAAUCAUUUUCAUUGUCAGUGUUUGGUUUCAGAUGGAUAUAAAAAACGUAAUCAAAUUAAUAUACUAACUUAUUUAUAAUAUAUAAUUUAAUUCAAAUUAAAAAUAAAUAUUAAAUUAUUACAUCAAAAUUUUGAAAUAAUGUCUAAUUUAAAUCUAAUUUUUUAAAAAAAAUUAAACUUUGAAGUUGAGUAGAUAAUUCAAAAUAUGAAAUUAAAUUUGAUUUAUUCAAAUUCAAACUUAAAUACAAUUUAAAUUUUAAUUUGAAUUCAUAAAUUUAAUUUAAGUUUGAAAUAAUUUGAAUAAAACUUAUAUAAAUUAAAAUUUAAUUAAAUUCAAAUUCAUAGUUAGAUUCGAAAUACUUAAUUAAAUUUUAAUUUUAAUUUAAGUUCAAAUUAAAAUUAAAAUUAAUAUUUAAUUUUUAAUUUUAACUCAUAUUUUAAUUAAAAAAGUUGAAAAAAACAAAUUUAACCAAAUAAAUAUCCAUUCGUCCGAUUCACUUUCAAUCGACUCCUAGACCGGAUUGAAAAAAAGGUGAUUGGGGGAUUCCCAUUCCAUCGGGAAUCAGAAUCGGAAUCGGAAUCGGACUCCGCGUACCAAAUACAACACAAACGAUUCAACCAUUCCCGAUUCCGAUUCAGGGUUAAAAAGAAGCGAGCCAACACGCCCCACUAGAAUACUUUUAAAACAGCCAAAGGGAUAGUGUUUGAGUUUUAACAUUGAUGGAGAGAUGUAGGCAUGAGAUGAUGGUGGUAGGGUGAUGUAGGUGGAAUAGUAUUUGAUCCAAGGGUAUUAGUAAUUAAGGAGUAAUCUAAGGGCUAGAAACUUAGAAGCACAGAGGAUUGGUGCUUCUAAAGUAUUCUAGCUCAAUUUAUAUAUAUAUUUUAUAUAUAUAUAUAUAUAAUAUAUAUAUAUAUAUAUAAGAGAGAGAGAGAGAGAGAGAGAGAGAGAGAGAGAAGUGAGAAGAGAGAGAGAGAAUAGGCUACUAUACUCUUAUGAGUAUUGGGCCUUCGUACUCAUAAGUUGUUUUCAAUAAUGGAGCUUCCGAAUCGACAAUCACUCCGUUAAAUAUGAUCUAAGUAUUUAAACUUGUAGAAAAUAAUUUCGUAAUUUUCAAAAUCAUAAUAAACCCAUUAAGAGGGUAUAAAAUGAACGGUCAAAAUCGAACAACGUCCUAAAAUGGAUGAUUGGAUCAUCAAUUUAAGAUCGCAGUUAUUGGUCUUUAUCUAGGUUGUGAAUAGAAUUUUCUAUCAAAAAUUUAACCUAUUCCAAUUUUUUUGCACCGUUAAACUAGCAAGUAUUCCAUACCGAUCGUAAAAAUUAUCAAUUUGUGAGAUUGAUGUAAGGUAAAUGAUGUCGAAAAAUUUAAAACUGAUUCUAGAACUUUAAAUGCUCUAGAAAUGUUUACGGUAUGGAAUUGUCGAUUCGGAAGCCUCUUCAUCCGUAAACGACUUAUGAGUACGAGAACGAUCGUACUCAUAAAAGUAUAAUAGCCGGACUAUUAUAUAUUAUAAUUAUAUAUAUAUAUAUAAUAUAGAAUGUGCGAUUAGGAUGAUAGUGUUCCCGAUUAAUUAAUAGUGGUCCCUAAGGUUGAGUAGGUGGUUGUUUACUAGUAUAGACUAUACGGAUGAAAUGAUCAAGGAUAGAAUCUAAGGUAGAAAACUAAUACUACAAAGCUUGGCUAUUUUAUCCGAUAGUAUAGUAGCCGGACUCUAUAUAUAUAUAUAUAGAAUUAGGCUGGAAUACUAUUAAUAGUAAAACGUUUUUUUUGCUAUCAAAUUUUUAACCCUUGGAUGAAAAAUUAUACGGUCAGGAUGAUAUUAGUCAGUUAGAGUUGAGUGGUCCCCCUAGGGUUGAGUGGUCCCCACUAGGUUAUAGUAUUUAAUCCAAUGAUUAGAAAUAAUGAAAAGAGUUGAUCCAAAGGCUAAAAAACUGAUAGCAACUAAUAGUAGCCCAGUCCAACUAUAUAUAUAUAUAUAUAUAUAUAUAUUUGAGCUUUAUGCUUUUAAAAGCACCAAAUUAUUAGUGCGUGUAGAUUUUCAAUAGAUUUUCAGCUUUUAAAUAAAGGAUCGUAGGGUUAAGAUAAUAAUAGUUCCCUAAAAUUGAGUGGAUGAUUGAUGGAAUAGCAUAAGGAAUAGACCUAACGGUGUAAAACUUACCAGCAUCAAAUACUUAAACGCCUUUAAAAGAAACAGAGCCAGACUAUAUAUAGAGAGAGAGUCCGGCUAGUAUACUCUUAUGAGUACGAUAGUCUUCGUACUCAUAAGUCGUUCUCGCUGAUAUCUGAAUCGACGAACCCAAAUACUAGUCUCUCAAACCAAACACCAACAUAGGGAUCGACCAUUCCAAUUUCCAUUCGAGCCUAAAAUCCUUCAAAUCAAACACGAGUUCAAAUCGCUUUCGCUAACAAACCAGUUCUCCAGUUAAUUACUCUCAGAGAUUUGCGAGCCUGAAUCAUGCUUACCAGUAGAGUAAAUGAUGCAGUUUCUCUUCAUAGAUAACACAGUACAAGACAAGUUUCUAAUCCCUGAAGUAUAUAAUUUAGAUCAAAUUAAUCAUGUCAUAUGUACUACCAAAAGAAGCAUCUUGAAUGUAAUUCCAUAAGCAAAAUACGGGCAGCGCGAAAAAACGACUGCCAUUUUGUUACAUACAAAUGAAUUAGCUCCCAUAGAUGAGUUCUACAGAACAAAAUUGCACAUUUCCACCUACAGAACCAAAAAAAAAAAGGGCGAAGCGAAAAGAACAACAUUAAAACAACAAUGAUAAUGUGCCAUCUCACUUCAGUAAGUGCUGAAAUAAAUCUUGGAAGCCAUUCAUAUGAUAUGAGGGCAUAUAUCCACAAAUGAUACAGUUUUUUAAGUUACGGCGAUACCACAGAUAAACAAAUGAAAACAUGAAUUUAAACAAAAAACAAAAAAGGAAAAGGGAAAGGGAGGAGGGAGGGGGCGCAUGGUACCUACUCGACAAAAGCCUGCUGUGUUCAUCCUGCGGCUUUGGCCGCAACCACGGCUUCCAAUCGUCUCCACGCAAGUUCUCGCUGCUCCUCGACUUCCUUGGCCUUGGCUUCUUUCUCGAGGAACUGCCUCUGGCACUCCUCGAACAACUCGCUGUCCAUGUCGAGGAACAUCUUGCGGACGUUUGCUGUUAGGCCGUGAACGGCUUGGUUCCAAUGGCUCCGGAUGUUCUUCUCGAGGGCUUCGAAUAUGAUGGGGAAUAUGACGCUACGGUUUUGGGCUAUUAGGCUCACGAUGUGGUCGUUGUUCCAUAGGAACAAGGCCCGUUCGGCAACCUUGGAAAAAAUGUACGAGACAAGUAAAAAAAAGGUUAUCUUAGAAAACAGAACAAUGAUGACAAAUGAUUGGUUGAGGAAAACACCAGCACAAGAUCCAGUUUAACAGAAAGGGAUGCAAAAUAAAGAACCAUCACGUGCUAUCCAACAAGAUGUCCAAAGUAGGGAGUGAACUUACCGUGAUGAAAAUAUAAGAACUGAAAAGAUUGACGGGCACUGAGACAUGCAACAAAUAUGAAAGUUGAAGUUUCAUUUCAACUCUAAAUUGUACUUUAUUUUUGGAGUUAUUAAAGUUCGACUUUGUAUUUUACACUAAUUUGAUUUGUUACAAAUUCAGUAAGUUUCCAACAGAUUACCAUCCAAUGGUAGGCAGUGGUUUGAUCAUAUAAUAAUAGCUGUGAAGUUUCGGAACAGGGAACACACUAUUUCUAAGGUUUUGGGGGGUUUUUCUUCCAUUUUUUUCAGUUUCUUUCAUGCACAAGACAACAUCAUGGCGAUAAUGAUUUUAAAAGCACCAGCACUGUAACAUGUUAUGCAAAACCUUUACUGAUGUUUCUGGCAUUCUAUGAAAAAAAGCGACAACUACAUGUAACUGAAAAUGUUUUUUAAAUUCAAUAUUACAAUGAUUGGCAAGGAUAAUUUACCAGCUAAUGAAAAGGCCGAAAUUAUUAAACUUUGAGAAGAACAGCUAUGCCAUUAUAUUUUUUUUCUUUUUCGAAAGAAGACUUGCCAUUAUUUCAUUGUCCACUGUAUUCCAUUUGACUGCAAAUUCAUAUUUGGAAUGUCACUGAAACCAUGGCUCUAACAAAGAUUAAUAAUGCCACUACACACUAAAGAUGCGGCAGUUGCAAUCCAUUUUCUCUUAAAAGAAUUUUAACGAAACAAAAAAGGGGAAUACUGACGUUCUAAAAGCUAACUAAUAAGGCACCAAUGGUGUGUAAACUAACAAAAAGAAUAAAUAGCUAGAGGCCAACAGGUAAGCAACACACUGAACAUAUAUAGGCAUAGUAAGGUAAAAAUCAAAGCCUGCAGGCUCCAGUGUACAGUGAAAGUAUAAUUGCACAUUAUUAGAUUACAUUUUGCAAGAAUUAUGAAUGUCCUAAAUAUACAUCAGUGACUGAAGGACACGAUGCAGUGGUUUGUUUCUGAUGAAAACUACAUGAUAAAAGUCAAUGGUGCCCUCUUGCAUGAGGUCUAUCCUACACGUUUUGUCCCACCAAAGAUCCUCAAGAAAUCUUGAGAGGCUUUGAUCUUUAAUCAUGAAAUUGGAUAGGUCUAACAUAAGCCUUCCUGAGCAUUUGAGCAUGGUUUAGAAGGUAUUUACGUUAACUUAUUGAAAGUAUUUGCGAGGAACAAAACACAUACAAGUUAACCUGCCUUAUCUGACAAAACGUCCACUCAAAAAACGCCACUUACAUAACUGAUAACAAUAUGACGUAAUUUUUUCCUAAAGUUAUGAAUCCUUUAGAUAGACCAAAAAACAAUUCUUACUAUCUUUAAUAAUCAUAAUAGUGCUGAAUACAGACAAUAUGUAAAAAACACACACUACAAGAUGACCAACCUAUACAGCAGACAAGAGGUGGCCCAAGUUUCAAAAUACGCACUACAAGACGACCAACCUAUACAAUGGACAAGAGAAGGCCUCAAAAGUAAGGAUUCAUGCUUCAGCGUGCUCUAUACCUAGCCAAUCAUUCAUUAUAAUGCACGGACUACAUUAGUGCCACUGUCAGAGCCGAUAUGUACUCACCAGGGAAGGUGCAUCACAUGCAUAUAGAUUUGCCUUACGUACAUUGUGACUAGCGGAAGCCAAUCAGGUAAUCAAGUUUAAUUAACACGUCUCUGAAUAACAGCCCUUCCUCUGUAAAAUGAGUUGAUGGUCUUUUGCAAGUCUAGAAAGCUGGAUUAACUGACAGAGUGGACCGUCAACCAGAACUUUUAUUGAAUCAGCCUAAUAUUUAAAACUCUCUUAAGAAUUACAUUUUCAUGAGGGAACUAAACUUGUGUCCGUUGACUGUUGUUCUAAGAGAUAUAUUGUGUAACGUUAAAUAUUGUUGUAGGGAUCUUUCCUUCCCUUCCUUACCCCUGUCAUAACCAUGAUCACCAAUGCCUGUUGGAAAACAAUUUUUCUAUGACAAGAGGAAGUCAUCCGAAACUGUUGGGCUCCUCUCCGGCUUAGGGAAGACAUUACUAAUAGGAGAAUCCAACAGGAUAACUGUUGAAGUGCCAAUCACCAUGCCACUCUCCUCUGUAAGGAAGAGCCCAUCAAAAACACUAGUGGUGUAUACUUACUCAUAUGUGGGUUCAGGUUUCUUCUACAUCCAACAAUCCCAAAACUACACAACUACAUAAAGGUCCAAAAUAGGAUUUAUUAAUAUCAAAAAGCUAAAGUUCAAAGAGCAAUUACCCAACAAUAAGGAUCUAAGAAAAUAAAACCGCAGAUACUGUGCAGAAAUACUGACACUUCCAUGCACUAAAGGGUGUGAUACAUAUCUCAAAAAGUGGGAAGUGUGCAUGUUUUUUUGACAAAAUAACGAAAACAUUGAAUAAUUCAGUAGCUUGUACAACAUAUAAACAACUAGACUAAGAAGAUCUUACAAAUCAUCUCUUUAUAGUUCAACAAAUCAAUUUUCCACUCGACAGUUCAAACUAUUGCUAACAAUAUAUGAAAUGAUUAAGCUAAAAAUUUAUACAGAAUAACAUAGAAAACACACUUAUGUUAAGAUAACAUAUAACAGUCUUGCAUGGAUGACUCUUUAAAUAUGAUCAUGCAAAACGAGCCUGUCAUAAGUAGUGAUUUGAAUAUUGAACUAUGGACACCAAAUUUGCACUUGGUCUCCAUUGGGCCUAGGGCAUAAGAGCACCUAGCAACUGGCUGCAUAACCUAAAGCCGAAAGUGAUACCAUAUGGUAGUUGAUAACUUUUUAUUCUUUGUCACACACCAAUUUUGCAAUUCAUUUCGAGAAGAACUGAAAAAUGAGGAAACAAGGCCAUCUUUACGUGUUGCUACCUUCUCUAACAAAUUCUCAUGAUGAUGUUCAUGGCAUUCCCCUCAAUCUAUCACAAAUUCCUUAAAGAGCAAACAGAUCAAUCUUGUCAGUCCAUUGCAAUAUGCCGAUCCUUCAUAGCCACAUGCAUGACAUUCCGUCAACUUAAUAACGGCAACAAGUACAACAAAAGUCUAUGUUUUCACAUUUUGAAGUAUCUAUCCUACAAAACGAUAUCCUAGUAGAAGCUUCCUAGAGAUCAUAACUUUGCCUCAAAUGAAAAUUAUUGAAUCAUUAGAUUCAAGAAGAUCUCCUUUUUGCCCCAAAAAUUAUGAAAAUAGAGACCUAUAUGUCUCCAUCUAAUUUUACUAUUUUCUUUUCCAUCCUCUAAACGACCUUACAGCUAUCAGCAUUGUAAUCAAUUAAUUUUCCCUCCUAAAACCAGCAAGAUAUUUGAUAAAGAUUGUCACUUCAACCUUCCCAUACUCUCUCCCAGAUCAUCCUCUAUAAUGUAUUCUUAGUCUCAGAUCUUAAAUUUGAAGCUCUUAAUUCUCAUAGAACUUGCGUUAUUCCGCUACAAAUUCAAAGCAGCAAUUGCAAAUUCACGUGCAACAGAUCUUAAAUCACCUUUAUCUUGAAGGGAUCUUAAAUCACCUUUAUCUUGAAGGAAUAUUUUGUUUGGGUUCACCUCUGUGGAAGUAUCAUCAAUUUUAAGCCGGAAAUACUAACACUAGCUAGCUAAUAGGAAGGAGAUCUUAGACAAACCAAACAUGCAAACUUACAACUAAGGUGCUUUAAAGAAAGAUUGGGAGGAGAAUAAAUGCUUCACUCGUAUGGAAAUAACAAACAUUAAUUGUACUGGGUACGGUUGGAAUUCUAUGCAUGGUUUAGCAAUAUGAGGGACAUUAAGCUCAAAAAGAAAGGGUUGGAAAAAAAAAAAAAAAGAAAAAAAAGAAAAAAAACAGUGUUGUGUCUUCGAUUAAAUUCUUUAAAUAAUUCGUUCCCAAAAUUUUGCCACCACAAGGAAAUUAAUGUUUAAUUUUGUAAUCUUGGAUUUCUUUUUUCCUUUGUUUUUGUUUUUGUUUUUGUUUUUGUUUUUAAUAAGAUAGACUUUGGCUUUUGUGAUUUAUUUGGACAUAUAAAUGGGGGGUAGUUUUCUUAGUUGUAUUAAUUUAACUGGUUGUAAUAAAAUAGUAAAAAAUUAGUAAGUGGUGUUAAUAAGGGGCCCUAAUCAACAACUCAUUGGAACUGGACACACACAUAUAUAUAUAUAUGAGCCCAUAUAAUGCCCAUGAAUUGUUUUCUUUUUUUUUAAAUUAAAAACAAUUUUGCUCCUUUUUGGCCCAUGUUAAUUUGGUCCAGCUUGUUUAAUCCUUCUUCCUCCUCCUCACUGGGAUUUCUUUUUUUAUUGGAAUGAUAAAUAAAUUUAUUUUAUUAAUAAUAAUAAAUUUUUUUCUUUACUUUUUUGCAAAAUAGGCUUGCUUUUUUUAAUAAAUUAUCUUCUUUUUUUCUCAGGAGCUGUACGCUUAUAUCUUGCUUUGUUUCGACAAAUUUUAAUUGCACUAUAAUUAUUUAUAGAGUGUAUGGGUAGCGUUAUUGUUUUAUUUUUAGCUCAUUUUCUUACUUUCUAAUAGCGAUAUUAAUAAGACGUAAACUUUUAUUAAGAAAAGUGUAGGAUAGAUAAAAAAAUUUUGCUCCAAUUUUUUACAACAGGAUUAAUAAUUAGGAACCAUACCAAGAUGUACUAAAUAUAACAAGUAUUUGUAUAUUAGAAUUAACCAAGUUCAUUAGGCAAAGCCCUAAUCAUGGGAUGCACUAAGCACAUAUUACUUGGUACUUACUUUACUCCAAUGUAAUACUCUAAACCAACUAAUUAAUGAUUUUGGCACUUUAUGAGUGUGACUGAGACAAAGUUGUGAUUUUGUUUUAUCCAUUUAUUGAUUGAUACCACAUGACUCAUUUCUUCUUUGAGUGGAUUGAAGGAGAAGGGAGAUGUCCUCAUCAAGGAGGUUUCAUGAUGUUGAAUCGUUUUUGGAUAAUGUGAAUUGUUAUGAUUAUAAAUUUGUAAUCCCAUGCAAAGUACAAAGAUAAAUUAGCCUACUUUAUUAUGUAUUAAUUCAUUAUUAUCACCGACCGUCCCUAUAGCAAGCGGUAAAGGGUUUAAUGGUUAGCAUCCGAGGUCCUAAGUUUGAAUCCUGAUUGAUUCACAUUUCCAGCUAAGUUUAUUUCUAAACGAAAUAAACAAAGCGGAUAGUGUGCUACCUAUCUCUCUCAAAAAAAAAAAAAAAUUCAUUAUUAUCAAUUAUCAACCAAAGAUGAGAGACAAUCAACUUGCGACGACGAAGACGUGAAGGUAAAAUAUUGAUCUAAUCAUUUAAAAGCAAAAGGUUCAAUUUUACGGUCUAUAUUUCUGUUGUUUCGAAAAGCUGCUACUAAAAAAAUUUCUUAGGAUCGGCUUGAUCUAGCAGUACGACGAUAAUAUUUUUCAAUCAUGCCGCGAUUUUUACAAACGGGACUAAAAAAAAUAUAAGGCUAAGUGAUCAUGCGAGACUAUCAUAUUAGAAUUUUCUAUUCUGGUAUCAUAUAAAAAAACUAUUAUUCUUCAAAAGGUUAAAUUACUGAAAAAUAAUAUUUAUUUGUUAUAUAUUUAACACACAAGAUGUCCUACCAAUUGUUGGUUUGCAUCUGACCAAUGGAUGGAAGCUAAAGCAUUUCCUUUAUUAAAAAAAAAUUAUUAUCAUUAAAGCAAGGGAAGAAAAGGAAGAAUGGGAGAGUUACAAAUGAAGGUAAUUAACCAUUAUUUAAGUGCUAAGUGUAGAAGCCACUCAUUUAUGUUAUGUAGAUAUGGAGGAAUCUAUAAUAAUUGGGACUAGAAUAGAAAUGGUAAGUCACAGUUGAUUAUCUAAGAAAUAAAGAGAGCAAUUGUGUAGUCAAAUGAGAAGAAGGGCCGACAAUCACUUUUCAAUCCAAAAACGCAUUUUAAAAGUUAGGCUAAACACCCCCGAAGAGAGAAGUGACUGGGAACAGGAGCAGGAACAAUGAGUACAGCUAGGGAUGCAAACGGAUUCGGGUUGGUGGAGCUCCCACCCCGAUUCGCUCCGAAUUAGGCGGUAAACGAAAAGAAAUAAACAGAUUCGAGGCAGGAAACUGGGUUAUUUUUAUGAUCCGAGACAAAUUCAGGACAGAAAAUGAAAAAAAUUUUGACCCACUCCUAAUCCGCCUCAAAAACUAUUUAUAUUUUAAAAAAAUAUUCCUAAAAAAUAAUAUAUUUAUAAGAAAGUUCAAAAUACACAUAAAUUGGUGUUCUCAGCUUUCUCAUGUAUUUGAAACUUUUGAAUUUUGCUUCGGAUUGUGAUUAAUAUUUUUAAUUUUUAUAAUUAAUGUUGUUAAUUUUAUACAUAGCUUAGUAACAUUAUUUAUUAUUAUUAAAAAAUAUUAAUUUAUAUUUUAUAAAAUAUUAAUAAUAUUAUAAUUUUUUAAAAAUAUUAAUUGGCGGGGGAUUGGGGGCGCCGGUAGGAGGUGGAUUAUUAGUCUGGGUGGAUUAUAGAAUAUAUUUUUUAAUCGAUCACAAAUUAGGGAUGGGAGGCGGGGCGGGGCGGGGCGGGGCGGCCGCCUCCAAAUCCACCCCGUUUGCAUUCCUAAGUACAGCUUCAACACUUAAAAAAAAAAGGAAAACUUCAAAUACCUUCUCACUUUAGUACCCUAUGGUUUAAAGUGUAUCAAGCUAGUACUCUGUGGUUUUACACUUUUUUACUUUAGUACUCUGUGAUUUAAAGUGUAUCAAGUUAGUACCCUGUGGUUUCACACUUUAUCACUUUAGUACCCUAUGGUUUAAAAACCAUAGGGUACUAACUUGAUAAAAAAAUAAAACCACAGGGUACAAACUUGAUACAAAAAUAAAACCACAGAGUACUAACUUAAUACACUUUAAACCACAGGGUACUAAAGUGAUAAAGUGAGAAAUCACAGAAUACUAACUUGAUACACUUUAAACUACAAAGUACUAAAAUAAAAAAAUGCGAAACCACAUAGGAGAUUUGAAGUUUUCUCAAAAAAAAAAAAAAAUAAAGGGCAAGUACACUAGCAUGAAAAUAGUUUUACUGUCGUUUUUGGGAGGGGGAGGGGGCUGGUAUCUUCUUUACAAAUAAAUUUAUGAACUUUUAAUUUUGACAAUUACAUUCUUAAUUUUUAUCAAAUAAUUCAAUACAACCCUCAUCUCAGAAGUCGCGUACAUAAUUCUGUGAAACCCUAUAAUAAAAAAUUUAUUUUCUCUUCCAAUUUUGAUAACAAAGUAAAGAAUAAGUAAUACCACACUCUAAUAAAUUUUUUUUUUACAUGUUAGAAUAUAAAAAAGGGUACAUUUCAAAUACCACCUCUGUGAUUUUAUAUUUUCUCACUUUAUUAUCUUAUAGUUCAAAGUGUAUCAAUUUAGUACUAUGUGGUUUCAUUUUUCUCUUUUCGUCAGAUUUUUUCAUUAAAUCGACGAAGUUAAACUUAAAAGAUAUUAAGUGAAUAUUUGAUAAAUAUAGGUGGGGUAUCUGAAGUUUUUUGUAUAUAAUUUAACGAAAUGUUAACAGAGAAGCUAAUAAAAAGAGAAAAAUAAAACCAUAGAAUAUUAAAUUAAUACACUUUAAACCACAAGGGUGGUAUUUGAAGUUUAUCCUUUAAAAAAUAAAUUUGCUUGCAUUUUAAAGUUUUAUAGAACUAUAUGCAAAUGCACACAACCAAAAUGAGUACAUAAUUAGCAACUUUAAUUGAGAAGAGGAGCCUAUUGAACUAGGUGAUAAAGUUUAAAAAAUAUAAUUACCAAAAUUGAAAGUUCAUUAUUCAUAUGCUUAUUUUGGAUUUCAUAUCCAAGCCCCAAAAGUUAUUUAAUCCACCCAACUAACAACAAGAUGAGUAGUAAUUGGGCCUCCAUAAUCAAAAUUGGGCUUCAAUUGACUUAAUUGGGCUUUUUAAUCAGCGUUGAACUAUUUCUACUUCCACCCUUUGAAUUAAGAAAUUUAUUAAACUUAGCAACUAUUCAUCGUUUAUUAUUUUCUUUUUUUUGUAAAAAAUAAACCCAUACGUUGUUUAAACAGUUGAAGUCAGAAAAGUUGACAGCACGGCUGAUUAUACUUUAAUAAAAUUUUCAAUUAAAAUAAAUCAACUUAAACCAAAAAAUAAAAAUAAAAAAAAAAUCAGGGUUCCAUUUUACGGUCCAGUGUAAAGAGGACACCAGGGAAAAAAAAAUAUAAAAAAAAAAAUCCUUGAAAAUAAAAUUGCUAGAGGACCAACUUGUAUGUACUAGGACAGGCCUCUCAUUCCUCAAAAAGGGUUUACAGAUCUUCCGCUGCAAAAUCGAUCAGAAAGCGAGCUUCUGAUUCCUAACAAAAAUACAACUCGAGUUUCAAAUGCAGAAGAAACAAGAAUAGUUCAUCAUUAACAAACAAAGUAAAGCAUAUACUCGUAGAUAUUAAAAAGCAAAAAUAUUAGAAAAUGAGGGAGAAAAAGAAUAAGAAAUACAAUAGCUCUGAAUCUGAAGAGAGAGAUUCAUUAAAACAGCUGCAUGAUAAAGCCUUCUUAAGUUCUAAAUAUAUAUCUACAUGAAAACCAUAAACAUCCCAAUAUUAGUAAACUGCCAACACAGAAUCUUGAGGUUACAGAAAAUUUGGCCAAAGUAACUAAAUACCAACAGCAACUACCACCCUCCUUUGCUACUGCUUCCUCCCUUAGCCCCGCCCCAGGCCCCGGCCGCUUUAUCCCAGCAGCUUCCCUGAUCCGCACCGCCGCCUUCGGCUUCUUUGGGUUUCUCCCGCGAGCCCCCUCCCGACAUAGCUCCAACAUUUCCGGGCGAGCUUUUCUCCCACCCGGCGCUUUGAUCACCAGAAGCUCUUCCACUUCCAGUCGAAUUUUUCUCCCAGCCAGAACUCUCAACUCCAGAAGCUCUCCCGGUGUUCCAGCUGUUCUUCUCUUCAGUGUUGUUAUUCCAACUAGACGGUGCGUUGUUCCCCUUGAUUUCUGUAUCAUCCUUUCCCCAGUUAGAGCUCUGCUUGCCCCAUGCUGAAGCGCUUUCUCCAGCAGCCGGUUUUCCCCGACUCCAAUCGUUGUUCCCUUGUUGAUCACUACUGUUAACGGCAUCCGAUUUGCCCCAGCUAGAUCCUUGACUAUUCUGGGAAGUUCGAUCACCGAAGUUUCCUCGUCCGCCCCUCCAACUGUUAUCCUGAUUUCUACCGCCCCUCCAACUGUUAUCCUGAUUUCUACCUCUAUUUGCUCCAUAUCGACCCCUUCCUCUUUCCCCGCUAGUUCCUCUACCGCUGUCAGAAUCUCUUCGCUGAUUCCAAUUGCUACUUCCAUUGUUUUCAUCUCUGUUCCAACUAGAUCGGUGAUCGUUCCCGCGAUCUGCUGGUUUGUUCCAGUCGUUGUCACGAGAUCGAUAACCACCUUCUCCAGAAUAGCGUCCUCUUCCUCUUCCACCACCAAACCCACCAAAUCCACGACCCUCAGAAUUUCUUGGUUUAUCCCAGGUGGAUUCAUUGCCUCCAUCAAAUGAAGAACAUUUACUCCAGCUGUCUGUUGGAGUUGCACCUUUAUCUUUUGUCUUCUCCCAGUUAUUCCAUUGUGACUCUGAUUGGCUCCUUUGUGAAGCUGCUGACUCCCAUUUGCUUCCGCUGUUUAAGCUAGUAUCUUGCUCUUUAUUCCAAGUUGAACUAUUUCCAACAUUGGUUUCGGUGGUGAUGUUCUCUUGAGGCUUUGAAGCUUUGCCCCAAGCAUCUUCUUCUUCACUUCCCAACGUCGACUUCCUCCCUUUAGCAUUCCACGCAUCUGAUUUAUCAUUGGCUGCAGGAUCACUGCUUGCAUGCUUUGUUUUCUCCAACAAAUCAAAGUUGGUGCCACUUUUGGUAGAAGCUUUGUUCCAUCCCGCAUCAAAAGAAUCGUUUCCAGCUUUAGAAGUCACCUUACUAGCCCAAGGAUCAGCUUCACAUUCUUGACCUGCUUGAAAACGCAAGCAAUCGGCUUCUCAAAAUCCAUUCACAAGGAAUACAAGAUAAAGAACAAAUAACAAAUGCACAAAACGGCACAUCAACAAAAGACCUGCAACACUAUUUCGAUUCCCAAAUAUCCCAAAAAGAAUACCUAUUCAACAAAACAUACAAAUAGACUAUACUGUUGUAAUAUAACACUUACCUCCAGCAUCCUCAGCAGCAAAUGUUUUCCCAGAGAAGCCACUUGAUUGCUUGUCCUGCAAAGAAUUUGAACUAUUCCAUCCACUUGUAGGUACAGAUGCAUCAGCUGAUUUGUUUUCAGAUGAGAACUUAUCCCAACUAGAAGAUUUCGACGCAUUCCACUUAUCUCCACCACCAUCUUCACUUCUCUUGGACUGCCCAAGAUUCCACUUAGAAUCCGAAGAAGUCCAAUUGGUGUCUGUGUCAUCCUUCUUCGGCUCCGACAAGCUUUUAGCACCCCAACUCUUCCCUGCCUCAUUAGCAGCAUCUUUAUCCUGAAUAAAAUUAUCUGUUGGUUUUUCAUUUCGACGAAAGCUACUAGAUUUAUCCCAGCCAGCACCUUGAUCACUAGCCCAACUAGAAGGAGCUUUAGAAUAAGUUCCUUCUCCGGAACUUUGCCGUUCAUUCCUGCAAUCAGAGGAGUCACCUCUCCCGCGACCACGGCCAAAGCCACCACCACGACCUCCACCGCGACCAAAAGGUCUAUAGUCUACAGAAUUGUCCCUGGAAUCCCCAAAUUCAUUGUUAUCACAACCUCUUCCUCUUCCUCCAUAUCGACCUCCUCUAUUCCAGCUAGACCCCUUAGAUCCAUCAAAAUCCCCUUUCCUGUUCCAAUUUCUCUCCUCAUGUUUUUCUCCACCAGCACCAUUGUUUCCAUAGUUACCACUUGGUUUGUUCCAGCCACCCUGUUUAUCACUUUUGGCCCAAUCCCCUCCAUCGAAACUCUUUGGUUUGUUCCAGCUAUCUGUUUGGUUAUCUCUGUCAGCUUUGUCCUCUCCUUUGUUCCAGUUCGACAUAGAAUCACCACCAAAAGAUUUUGGCUUAUACCAGUUGUCAUUUGGAUUUUGAUUAGACACUCCUGCUUUAUUCCAAUUGCCACUUUCAGUUUCAGUUUUCUCCUUUGCUGCUUUAUCCCAGCUGCUGGUGUUGCCUCCAGCUGCUGAUGAUUGGGUUGAUUUAGCAGCAGCAUCCCAACCACCACUUUGGUUUCCUUUGAAUGCACCAUCUUUUUCUUGACUUUGGCUUGAUCCCCAAUUUUGACUUUCAUUACCACUCUUGCUUUGGUUCGUUGCAGCUCUGCCCCAAGGAUCAUCUUCAUUCAUCUCUAUUCCCUUUCCUUUAGCUUUGCCCCAAGUAUCAUCGUCGUUUAUCACGAUUCCUUUCCCCGUAGCUUUGCCCCAAGAAUCGUCCUCCUUUAUCACUAUACCUUUUCCCUUAGCUUUGUCCCAAGAAUCGUCCUCAUUUAUCACUAUUCCUUUUCCCUUAGCUUUACCCCAAGUAUCACCAUCAUCCAUCGCAAUUGCUUUGCCCUUAACAUCCCAAGAAUCUGUUUUGCUGGUAACAGCCUCAGAUUUUGUCCAAUUAUUUGGUUCGUUCCAGCUAGAACCCUUCCCUUUGUCCUUAUCGUUUGAUGCUUUAUCCCAGGCAUUGUCUCCACCAGUUUUUGAAUUAUCCAAGUUGCUUAUUUUGUUGCCCGUGCCCCAGCUUCCUCCAGAAUCACUUGCCAGCGUUUUUUCUUUCUCCCAUCCACCGGCGUCAGAAGUGCUUUUUUGAGAACCUUUGUUACUCCAAUCAUUUGAGUUAUUUUGCCAAGUAUCAGCUUGACCACUGGCGGCAUUAGUUGUUGAUUUAUCCCAUGAUGAAUUUUGAUCUCCGCUAGGGGCAGCUGCAUUAGCCCAGGUGUCUGCUGAUUGAUCAGAUUUCACCUUGCUACCCCAUGGGUCGACGUCAUCUGAUGAUAGCAAGCAAAAAUGUAUAAUUGCAACACAAGAUAACAUGUUAAUGAAUUAUAUCAAGAACUGACAUCCAUUAUUACCCAAGAAAGCACAGUUUGAUAUAGUUAUAUUCUACCAAAACAUUCUACAAAAGAAAAACUAAUUUAUUAAGCAAGCAAUAGAUCGAGAACUCACCUUUUUCACACAUAUCAAGGCUAAAGAUAACUUGUGAUUAAGAGGACAGCAAGUCAGCAACAAUAUUCAAGAUAAGGGUCAAGACAGGAAUGUCAAGGGUGGAGAGAAAUUUUCCACCAUCUAUAUACCCCCAAAUGCUCAGUGGGAACAAAUUCUAUUGGGAAAGUGAUUUUUCAUCAUUCAUGUUCCCCAAUUUUAAGGCAACAAAUGAAAGCGAUUAUCCAUCUCAAAAAUUAGAUUACCAUAUAAUGAGAACCCCCGAUCCCUCCAUCUAUUUAGUAAUAUUCUUUUUAGGUUUCUUUGACACCAAAGUUUGUAGAUAGCAUAUUUCACAGGUUAUCCUGCUUCAGUGCUAAAACAGGUAAUGUAUCCUUCUCCAAAAUUCUACAUAACUUGACGUCGUUUAGGUAGAGAGAAAAUGAUGGCAUUUAUGAUCUUCCACCCCUAAUCAUCAUGCUGUAAUGGACUUCUCAAAAGAUGAAGACUGGCUAUCGACUAUCAGCAAUUUUUUUUCAGCAAUCUAAAGUUGCUUCCUGGUUGGAUAAAGUAGGAGCACAAGUGCAUCAUUUAUGCUCAGAUUAGCUAGCCACCAGUUUGACCCAAAACUAGCCUUUUUUAUAUCACUCUCAAAUUGAUAAACACCAUUGGGCUAAUAUUCUAAAAAGCCAAAUUUCCACCACUUUUUCAGUCCUCUUUCAACUGCAAAUAGAACAAGGCCCAUUUUACUGAAAACCAUAUCUUGCCAAUAAACUACGGAUACAGUUUUAUCAUGUCCAUGUACGUUUCAGGAAUGAACAUGACUUGGUCAAAAUUUCAAGAGUACAAAAUAAGUACUGGCAUACGAGAACUUUAUGACUAAUUCCAUUUUUGUUGACUCAUUCGGUCUCCAUUGGCAAAGAAGGCCUGAUAAAAUGGGAAAGAAAAACACUUUCACAUCGUUGAGAAGAUUAUACAAUCAGGCAUUAUAAACAACUAUUCACAAUAAUACAAGGAAAAUACAUUCAAACUUGACAUAGUAGUAUCCAAACCAUCAUGAAACUAUAGGAAAAUGGCACAUCUGCUAAUUCAUAAUGUGACUGUUAAAAAUGAUACCUGUUUUAUUGUCAGUAUUGCCAGCAGCUGAUAGCUUGGAGGCAGAAAAUGGUUGCCAACCGUCACUGCAACAUAGUGAAUGGUGAAGUCAGCAUAAGUGAAACCGCCUAUAUAUUUUGAUGCAUAUCUAAUUGUCACUAUUCAUCUUACUUAAUAAGAGAAACAGGAGCAAUUGAUCUACCGAAUUAGUGAAGCUAUUUCUCAAAACACAAAGAGCAUAACACAGCUUUAUAAGACAACUGUCUUCAUGCACGAAAUGUAAAGAGAUACAUAGGAACUAACUCAUUUUGCAUCAUGUAUUCCCAAAUCAAAGAAUUGCAUAAUGCUAUUUAUCACUAGACCUCCGUGUAAACCCUUUUCUGCAACUUUGUUAUGAUUUGCCGUUGCAUUACAUUGAACAAAAUAGAAAACAGAAUUUCUUCGGGUGGCAACAAGAAGAAUGAAGCAAUAACUAACAAAAAAACUGACUGAUAAUUUUCGUAAAGGUUGGAAAAAUAUGCAUAAACAACAAAAGCUAAUGCAUAGAAAGAGAGAAUUAAAACUAAUUCUGAUAGAAAACAAGCCAACCUGCCAAAUGAUGGUAAUGGACUAUCCCAUGAACUUCUACCAGGUUGUGAUUCUGUUCCAUCAGCAGAGAAUGGACCUACAAAUGUAAAGGAGACGGGGGAAUUGAAAACAUCAAAUUACUGAUCCAUUGAACUCAAAUCUUCAACCUAAACAUUAAAGACAAAGGAGACACAGACAGUUCAAAUCCAAAAUAACUUGAUAUAGAGAAAGACAAAUGCAAGAGAUUGAAAUUCAUCACUAUAUUAUAGUCCUUGAAAACGCUUCUAUAGACCCAAAAAAGGAUGCUCACUAGCAAUCGACGGGGCUUUGUAUCCCUUGAAUUCAGCCUAAUAUAUAGAGAGUGAUGAAAGUUCCCAACAAAAGAACAAAAAUGUAUGAGUCUACCUAUCGAUGGCAUUUCUUGAGUUCCAAACAGAUCAGAUGCUGCACCAGUUGAAUCAUCCCUUUUGAACACAAACAGCAGGAACAGUAGUAAAAGUAUAAGAAUAAAGUAGGAAGACAAACAAAGACACAUUUGCAUAACAUAAGAACAAUAUUGCACAAAAGGAAACCAAACAAACAAUAUACAAAUUACCUUUUUCUGGUUGGAACAGAAAGAAACUUGGCAUCAACUGCAUAAGCAAAAGAAAGAACUUGUUUUAAAGGAAGUUAUAGUACAGUAUGCCAAAUAUGUUUUAAGUCAACGAACCUGUAAUAAUUUUCACUAAAGAAUCCAGCUUUACUGUCACCUCGGAGCGAAAGAUGCGCACAACACGACAGAGGUAACCUUUUAAAGGGCCUUUACAUAUCCUCAAUGUCUGCCCAAUGGAGAAGAGGGAAUCUCUAUCAUAUUGGCGACGCCUACCAGCUGCACCAUCAAGUGAAUUAGGAUAAUCACAAUCGCCUUCCAUAGCACUAGAGGUAUAAAGUGAUCAGACAUACCACCAGAAGAACUAUCUUGAUUCUCGAAUGAUAUGGUAGGCGGCUCUGAAAAUAGAGAAGCUGACCCAUCUCCCUGCUAUAUAUAUAUAUAUAUAUAUAUAUAUAUAUAUAUAUAUAUAUAUAUAUAUAUAUAUAUAUAUAUAUAUAUAUANNNNNNNNNNNNNNNNNNNNNNNNNNNNNNNNNNNNNNNNNNNNNNNNNNNNNNNNNNNNNNNNNNNNNNNNNNNNNNNNNNNNNNNNNNNNNNNNNNNNNNNNNNNNNNNNNNNNNNNNNNNNNNNNNNNNNNNNNNNNNNNNNNNNNNNNNNNNNNNNNNNNNNNNNNNNNNNNNNNNNNNNNNNNNNNNNNNNNNNNNNNNNNNNNNNNNNNNNNNNNNNNNNNNNNNNNNNNNNNNNNNNNNNNNNNNNNNNNNNNNNNNNNNNNNNNNNNNNNNNNNNNNNNNNNNNNNNNNNNNNNNNNNNNNNNNNNNNNNNNNNNNNNNNNNNNNNNNNNNNNNNNNNNNNNNNNNNNNNNNNNNNNNNNNNNNNNNNNNNNNNNNNNNNNNNNNNNNNNNNNNNNNNNNNNNNNNNNNNNNNNNNNNNNNNNNNNNNNNNNNNNNNNNNNNNNNNNNNNNNNNNNNNNNNNNNNNNNNNNNNNNNNNNNNNNNNNNNNNNNNNNNNNNNNNNNNNNNNNNNNNNNNNNNNNNNNNNNNNNNNNNNNNNNNNNNNNNNNNNNNNNNNNNNNNNNNNNNNNNNNNNNNNNNNNNNNNNNNNNNNNNNNNNNNNNNNNNNNNNNNNNNNNNNNNNNNNNNNNNNNNNNNNNNNNNNNNNNNNNNNNNNNNNNNNNNNNNNNNNNNNNNNNNNNNNNNNNNNNNNNNNNNNNNNNNNNNNNNNNNNNNNNNNNNNNNNNNNNNNNNNNNNNNNNNNNNNNNNNNNNNNNNNNNNNNNNNNNNNNNNNNNNNNNNNNNNNNNNNNNNNNNNNNNNNNNNNNNNNNNNNNNNNNNNNNNNNNNNNNNNNNNNNNNNNNNNNNNNNNNNNNNNNNNNNNNNNNNNNNNNNNNNNNNNNNNNNNNNNNNNNNNNNNNNNNNNNNNNNNNNNNNNNNNNNNNNNNNNNNNNNNNNNNNNNNNNNNNNNNNNNNNNNNNNNNNNNNNNNNNNNNNNNNNNNNNNNNNNNNNNNNNNNNNNNNNNNNNNNNNNNNNNNNNNNNNNNNNNNNNNNNNNNNNNUAAAUUUAUAUAUAUAUAUAUAUAUAUAUAUAUAUAUAUAUAUAUAUAAACAAAGAGUUAGACAACAAGGUUAUAAACAGGAGAAUCAUUAUCAAGCAAUAUAUCGUCCACAUAAAUACCAAAUUGUCAUCAAAAGAAUUCACUGAUUCCCUUGACUUCUUGAUUUUCUCACAUGACUCAGACUUGGCACAGAAGAACCCACUAUUCUCAGUCUCAUUUUCAUCAUAGAUAAAUAUUGAGCCCCUGUACAAGUGCUUCACAAUGCCUUGUCUACCCUGCCAAAAUGAUUCAACAAGAACACAUCAACACCAAAGUGGAACUCAGUAAUUUAUAACAGUCAAGAGAAAUUUGCUAAAACAAUUCAUAACUUAAUGCAAGAAAUCAUAAAACCAAUCGAUGGGCAGUAUUCUCCAUAUAAAUAACCAGUGUUAACAAAUGGUAGCAUUCUUUAAAGUAUACUGCUUCAUCUAAAGGACAUGUCUCUACCUCUAAGGAUCCCUCCAGAACCUUGACAAUGUCAUUAACAGAUAUGGUCUUCGAGUGCCGGUCUAAAGCAGUGAACAUUUUAUCAACACAACCACUCUUAAUAUCCUGCUUCCUAAGUGUCACAACGGCCGAUCCUUCAGUGCCGCCUUUUAGUAUCUGAAAGAAUAUAUUUAAUAUACAAGAUUUAGCUACAAAGGAAACUAUAAUAAGAGAAAAAGGUUAAAAUGAAUGCAGUUACCCGGACUCCGUCUUUCUCCACAGUAACAAUAACACCAAAGUCCUUUUGUCUGUUAAUCCAAAAGAGCAAAGAGCAAACAACAGAGGUUAGUUUUAUCAACAUUACAGGGUUUAGUUUUGUCAAUUAUAGAGCAUACUAAACAGAUGAAGUAACAGAAACAAACCCGAAUAACACGAGAUCAUGAAGUUUGUACUCAUUCUUCCUAGAAGUAGUUGCAACAUUAUCUGAGUCGUCAGUCAACCGUACUUUCUUACGACCACUAUAAACACUUGAAACCCAAUCUAAGUCCUCGCUGUCAUCCUUAUUCACGUUAGAGAACUUCAGAAGUUCAGAUUCAGAUGGCUGUACUCCCCAGAAAACAACUGAUCCAUUUGAAACCCAUUUGUACAUGUAACCAUCUUUCAACAUCAUACCAUCAAGUACUUCGAAAACUUCACCACUUUGACGAUCACGUCUCGUUUCAAUAAGGGGUCUGAACUCACUGAGGAAAGAAAUAGGAUCGCGAGUAUUCAGAGUUAAAACACUAUAGUAUUGAAGUGAAACUGCAGAACAAAACAAGCUAUGGAAUGAUGGAAAAUUUUACUCUAGUUCAUGCGAGCUAAUAAGACGUGGAGCAGGAACUGCAGCAUGCUUCAAAGAUAGUCCACCACCCUGCAUAUAAUUCAAAAUAGUUGACGAUAAGCAACAUGCAAGACUCUGCACAUAUACGGAGGGAACUUGAGCUUCAAUCUCUCACUCAUAACAUGAAAAAAGGCAACCCAACAUAUCUGGAGCCUGGUGAUUGGAGCAACAAUACAUAUAUACUCUAUUAGGAUCUAAAUAUGCUUGCCUGCAUACUCUACUAGCAUCUGCAUGUGCUUGUCAUGUCAUAUCUAGUGAAAACAGACAAAACAAUCAGAACGGUAAAGUAGCUGAUGCCAAUUCUGGAGAGUAUCUCCCGUGAGAUCGCUUCAAGGACCAAGUAUAACUUAGAAAGAAAAAGUAAGAAGGAUGGUGAAAUAAAUAGAAAAAGGACUAUAUCUAUACAAUUGAUUAAUUUGUUAUGAAACUAGUUUUAACUAACCCACCAUCCGCAUCACAUAUAACAAGAAAAGAAUAAACAAUAGAAAAUAAGAGAUUGAUCUUUACAAAUUUUUUUGAAAUAGCUUGCAGAUCAAUUCUAGGAAUCAACUUUAUCAUCACUCUUUUCCGUCCAUCAUCAAGAUUAACAACCUACAAAAGAGAAAAAUGAAAAAAGAGCAAAUAAACCUCAUAGAACAGAAGCAAACAGAAAACUGGAAAAUAGAGACAAAGUAAGAAAAGAGUUACUAAUUCGGAAUACCUGUGCAAGAUCUCCUUUAUAUUUCCCACUCUUCAUACGGACCCACGAACCCUGAGAUAUUCCACAAGAUUUGUUACGACUAGAGAGCAAAUGAGAAACUUCACUUGGGGGGACAAGGUUAAUUCUGCCUGGAUAUAUGUUACAAAAUCCUUUGCAUGCCUGAAGUACAGUAGAUACUAAUUAGACAAAACAAUGGCAACCUUCCACUCUGCCAAGUUAACAACCACUAACAGAUGGAAAAUCGAAAAACAAACCUCGCUAACGUCAUUUGCUUUGUCCGCUUCAACAAAAACAAAACCUUUCACAUGGUCAAGUGCAAAAGCAGAAACUAUUUGCAGUUUGUUUCCGAGACAGUCCAAGUCAACAAACUUUUGCAUGAAGCAAAAGGCCAUCUGCCUCUCACGACCAAUCUGUAUCAGACAGUCAUGCAGAACAGCAAUUAGAGAACAAUAUUUUAGACGAAAUAGCUUAGUUCAAAGAGACUACAACAAACCAUGCAUUUAAUCUUCCAAACAGUAGGAUCCUUCAUUAAAUCAGCUGCAGAUACUUCAUCUCCAGAUUCUUUAGAAUCUUCAGCAUGCACUACAUACUUCGAACUACGACCGUAACGGUCUUUAAUUAGUUCUUCCAGUUCAUCACCACUCAACUCCUCUUCCUUCACAAAAAAGGGAAGGUGAGGAGGCCUCGCUGUGCCUUUCAAGUCUUCAUUUUCAGCUUUGCAUUCAUCAGGAAAAUCUGUUCCAUUAGGUAAAGAGAAAACAAAGAAUAUCAGAACCGUUCCAUUAGGUAAAGAGAAAACAAGAAUAUCAGAACCGGUAAAGCCAAGCUUGCAUAAUAGCUGAUAUCAGCUUCUCCUUUGUAUUGCCAGUCAGGCUUUCGGGAAGCAAUAUGUGAUUUGAUGUACAAAAUAAAUAUCUAAAAUUAAAAAUCCAUUAUAACUUAUCUGUACGAGGUUAACAGGAUAUGGAAAAGAGAAAUAGACGUGACUGGACCGAUUAAUAUACAUAGAAAUCAUUUCUUCAAGAAAGGGAUGCACAAUUACAUCCACAAAAUUACGUAGACAACUCAAAGAACGAUAAUGAAAACCAAAGAGGAAAAACGAAGGCAGCAAACUGUCAAAAUCCAAGAAACUUCAUGUCAUGCAUCUACCGGAAAUUUAUAGUUAAAUAGCUAACUAUGCUGUCUAGCUAGCAAAAGUUCUGAAUAGUUAAUAUCAAAUCACAUAAUGCCAGAAUAGUUGGUAAUGUUGCAACAGAAAACUGCAAAAGGAGAAACAAAGAAAGCGGAUAAAUCACAAGAAGUUGAAAAAGGAUAUCAUACAAAACGGCUCCCAUAAAACUAGAGCGAAUAACGUUAACUAUAUUAUUGUGUUACUCUUUGAUUUUUGCAUAUGAAGAUACUAGUUAAUCUAUAAUCCAGACAAUUUGACAGUUUCUAACAACGGAGAAAAGUAUACUGCUGCCCCAUCCCAAUCAAGGAGCACGUUUCUGCUCUAUUAAACAUUAAACCUAGCCACUGAAAAGCACAAUUUAAAAUUCUUGCAACAGCGAGACCUACAUCAAAAGCUGCCAGGAAAUUCUCCACACAAAAGAUAAGCACAAAGAGUAAAAUGUGAAACAUCGUAAUAUGUGGCAGAUAGAAGAUUCUGAAAAUUUUGGGUUUAUGAUAACAUGCAGCCUGAUGCAUACCCAUCUGUAUGCCGCAUUGACCAUCCAAGGAAACAGCACAAGGUACAUAUUAUGCUGUGUUUCAUGCAAAAGGGGCAUGCAACAGCCUGUUUUACGGUUUGAGGGCACAUUUAACCUCGCUGGAGCUUUCGGCAAAAGUGUUCUUAGAGCUGUUCAGAAAAGCAUUUACAACUUUUUUCAUCAAGUCCGACCAACAGCUUCCGCUGCAGCAGAACCCUAAAAUUGGAGCAAUACGUUUUUGCAGCCCAAAAGCUCAUCUUAGGUUCCAACCACAGAAAAAGUUCCAGAUUUCUUGUUUGCUAAACAUCUUGAUGUUGAUUUUCAGUAUAGCGAAGCUGUUGCAGAAACCUUGCCCAAUAGGCACAUAAGUCCAAGAGGGCAAGCGCCUUAUAAUCACAACUUUUCCCAUUGAAGGUGCCAUAACACAUGACAAGUUGGCAAUGCGAUGAUGACAUGCAAAACAGGAAUUCCUUGAAUCCUUACACAAAGACCACAAUUAGCUUGAAUUCCAAGAGAAUGUACCCAAGCUAAUCCGGACUCAAACAUUAUGUCGAGCCCGUAGAUAUAGCACAUUGUACUGAAAUUGACGGCUCACUCUUUUAUCCAAAUCCUAUCAUUUAUAUGCUAAACAGACGCACCAAAAAAUUAUAGAAACUGCAACCUAAGCUCAAGCAUGCCCUAGAACAAAAACCCUAACGACGUCGCUUGUUACGAAACCCCAAAAACCGAAAAGAAAGCGAAUCGCAUUGAGCAAAGCGAGUCUCAACAAUUAGCAAGAGGAAACCCUACACGAGUAAGAAGAAGAAGAAGCACGGAGGUAAUGGCGAAGGCAUCAUUCAUACCCUCCUCGGCGUCCUCGCCACCGGACUCGAGCUCGUCGUCGUCGGCGUCCAUGGCGGCGUCAUCGAAGAACUGCAACACGCCGGGGCGGCCCCGCUUCGCGCGGCCGCGGGAGGAGGCGGCGCCACCGGAGCCCUGCGCUGCCUCGGCGGCGGGGUUCUUUCGCUUCGCGGAGGCGGAGGAGGGGGAGGAAGCCACCUGCUUCCCCUUCCCCUUCACCGCCAUUGAUGAGCUCGACGAGAGAGCUCAGAGGAAAAGGAAGAAGACGACGACGAAGAGUUGGAGAGAGAGAGAGAGAGAGAGAGAGACGAAGAUGGGGCUCUACUCAACCCUUGUGGUAUGGUCGAGGAGGGGUCGAGGGUAUAAUCGGUAUCUUAUCCUCGAGGUGCACAAUUAUCAGAGUAACUGACACGUGGCGCGAUUUGAAUGGGCUAUUAGUGGAAAACUAAUACGACACGUAGAUGGUGCAGCAUAGUUCAGGAUGUUCCUUGAGCAUAGUUUUUUCGUGAUGGGACGGUUUUGCCCCCGGGAGUGUGAGCGACGAUAGCGACAAGUGUUCGACGUUUCGUUUUGAUACGACACCGUAGGGAGAUAGGACACGUGGCUACAUACAGUGUGUAUGCGGCUUUGGGGCACGUGGACGGUGAUGAUUUGUUUAAAUGUCUGUUUUGUGUUUGCUAUGAGAUAGCAAAAGUUUUACUUGAGUAUUUUGUAGACUCCACUAAACAGGCGAAAAAGUUUGCGAAAAGCCGCAUAAUAUGAAAUUAUCUGGACCGUUCGAUGGAAAGCAACGGUUGCGUGAACGGACGAGAUCGGCCAAUCCUGGUAGCGAGAACGGUAGAUCAUCAGGAAUUGGUACCCACCCAUUUUUUGACAAUAUAAAAAAGGAUUAAUAGUAAUUUUAAUUAUUUAUUUAGUUGAGAUUAUAUUUUUACAAUAAUAAUAACUAAAAGUAAAAAAAAAAUCAUCAAUGGCGUAUCAUACCAUGUAAAUUUUUUACAUUUAUAAAUUUACAAAUUCAAAAAGGACUAAAAUGAAAAACUCUGCAUCAUUUGUAUACUUUUCACUAUAAACUUUUUCAACAUUCCUCAAAAAGAUAGGAACAUGCAUAAACAGUUUCUAAACUCUACAUCAUUAUCAAAUAGCCCUUUAUUAAACUUUAACUUCGGACAAUUAAACAUUUAAACUUUAUCAAAUUAUUCAAUAAUUCUAUUUCUUUGAAAAAAUUUACUAAUUAAGUAGCUAUUUUAGUGGUAUCUUUUAUAAAUAAUCAUGUAAAACUUCAAAAUACAAAACAAAGCCUAGUUUUUUUUUUAAGUAUGCAAAUUAAAAAAUAAUGCUGAACUUAUUUUAUAUUUUAUUGCCUUUUUAAGUGUUCAAAUAGAAAAGAUAAAUUUUACAAACUUUUGUGCAAGAUAAUUUUCUUUAAAAAAAAGUCUAUUAAACUAUUAAGGAAGUCCAGUUGUCAAAACGCCAAAGCUUAGGGGGUGAUUGUACAUUUUCCCCCAAAAAAAUUGACUCAGAUUCAACCGGUUCAAUUCACGGGCCGCUCCGGUCCGGUUUUUUUGAAACAUCGGAUCCUCUCCAUCUAGGGUUUAAUUAAAAAAACCAUAACCCGCUCCGCCACGUUAUAAACCCUACGCCCCUCUCCAUCGUCGUCUCCCCCGACACAUCACCCCCCCCACCCCUCUUCUCUCUCCCGCAUGAGGUACGCUCCCUCUCAUUCCCCAUCCAUCCGCCAUUAAAACCCUAAUCCCAAGCUCCGCUUAUGGCUCCGCUUCUCCAGAAGCUCUCCUUCCUCCUCCGCACCUCUUCCUCCUCUUCCCACCUCCUCCGAUCCCUUCUCCUGUCCACGGCAACAGCUUCGAAGAAGCCCCAAAACCCUUACGCUCCCGAGUCCCAUUUCAUGGUCGAUUACCUCGUCUCCUCCAUUGGGCUCUCCCGGGACCAAGCCAUUAAGGCCUCCAAGGGCCUCGCCCACCUCCGAUCCCCCGAUCGCCCCGACGCCGUCGUUGGCUUCCUCAAGCGCACCGGAUUAUCCGACGCCCACAUCAAAAGCCUAAUCUCCUGGCACCCCAAAUUGCUUUGCGCCAACACGGAGAAGACCCUCGAGCGCCGCGCUAAGGAGCUCGAGGAGGGCGGCUUCUCCGGGCCGCUGCUCGUCCAGGUCGUCCGGUCCAACCCUUUUGCUUUCACCAUCAAUGGCGUCCUCCAAAGGCUCCAGUUUUGGAAAGAGUUCGUCGGCGGCGACAACACGGUUUUCUCUAAGGUUGUGAGAAGAAAUAGGAUGCUUAUUAACUAUGAUAUCGAAAGGAAGGUUGUUCCUAAUAUUACUCUUCUGAGAAACUACGGAUUGUCCGACAAGGAUAUCACGCUGGUGAUGAUGAGGGUGAACGGGUUCAUACUCCGCUCGCCGAUCUCGAUUAAGCAUCUGCUGAAGCAAACAGAGGAUUUGGGCUUCUCCCCUGAGUCGAAGAUGUUCGUGCAAGCUCUGUCAGUGGUGGCCAUGAUUAAAAGUACGACCUUGCAGAAGAAGAUCGAGCUUUUCAAGAGCUUUGGGUGGUCUAAAGAUGAGGUUCAUAAGGCAUUUCGGAAGUGCCCGAAUGUGCUCUCGCUCGCGGAGGAGAAUGUGAGGUUGAAAAUGGAUUUCUUGCUGGGGAAAGCAGGCUGCCUGCCGGUGUAUAUCAAAGAGAGGCCGAUGCUUCUUGCCUACAGUUUGGAGAAGAGGCUGGUGCCUCGGCAUCAUGUGAUGAGUAUCCUCAAGGAGAAGGGGAUUGGAAAGUAUUUUAGCUUUUAUAGUGUCGUUGGUUUACCCGAGAAAAACUUUGUUGAGAAGUUUAUUAGGCGCAAUGAGAAAGGAAUGCCAGGUCUUGACAAGGUCUAUGCUGCUGCUUGCGCCGGAGUGAUACCCACUUAGUGGUCUCGAAGUUUCUGAAUGAAGUAUGGUGCUUUUCUACGUAAACGGCAAGAUCAUGAGCUCUUGUUUAAAUUUUAAUGCUCAAUUUGCACCUGGUUGUGGAGAGUACCUUCAUUAUGCUUGGAGGAAUUGUAAAAACUUCACUAAGUCAAGGCAUCGAUAUUUCUCAUGACCAUGAUUUCUAUUCUUUCAUGGUUUUGUUUAGAUUCUGAAUUUUCCUUUAAGGUCCAAUCUGUUUUGUGGUAGCAAGUAUGUAAUAUUUAUUCGAUCCCAAGUUCAAGCCUCUUAUCAGCAUGUCUUAUCUUAUAAGGCGCUUACAGAGCUACACGAGUGUUCAUAAUUUGCUGGGAGAUUAUCAGAGAGAGUUUGUCAUUCCCCUGGUUUGGUUGCUUCUAAAACAGCUAAUAGUUUGCUUCUCUAAUAGGUUGUUUGAGUUCAUCUGAGUUGUAUUAAGCAGGAUAGUUUUACGUGAUCCAUAGCUAAUGUAGGAAUUGUUUAGUCUACUGUUUUAGUCUAGUAUUACGAUAUAUGAUUCUUUUCUUGAUUCAUCAAUUUGUAGCGCUAGCAACUCUCCUUUGUUAUUGUUAUUUGCGUGUGGUUUCAAGUUGGAUUCAAUUUGCAUUGUAAUUUUUAGUUUUGUUAAUGUAUUCGUACUUACAGUCUUACACCAUGCCACCACGUCUUAGCUAGUGUCGGUUGAAAGACUGACCAGCUAAGUCGCUAACCUUCUGCACAUCGGAGAUUAACAGACUUUGGAAUUUGAUGGACAACUUGAGUUCUAAUGUGUAUUUAGUUGGAUCAGAAGGGAAGAUAAUUUUAUCAACCCCAAAAUGGAACUAAAAGUCAGGUACACCUUACGAUUCUCUCCAUCUUUUACCUACGCCCCCUUUCAUUUCAGUUUCAAACUUGUUACAAUGUGUUAAAUUAAUAUAACUUUUCAUUUUUACAUAUUAAGUUUCACAUAUCUUAUUGAGUACAAUGCGAUAAUUGUGUAUGAGAUUAUAUUUGUUUUGUUUUUUUUGUGCCUUUUCUUCUUUUCUUCGCACUUCCAUGAAAUUUUUUUUGUCUUUCCAAUUAUUCAUGUUUGAAAAACCAAUUUGGCGCAGCAUUUUUACCCUUCUCUUUAGUGAUUAAUUGCUGUCUUUUUCACUAGCUCCUCCAAAUGCAGCUAACCUUAAAUGUAGCCGUGUUUUGUCCCUAUAAAUUGUUUCUCUAAUGCAGUUUUGACAACAUUACUGUAAAGCACCUGAAUCUAUUUAUUAUGUUUACGGGCCCCAAGUUAUUUCGUUGGUGUCCAUUGACAAGAAUGGUGCAAAGAAUGCUUACCUUCUAAUAAAAACUUAGAACUGUGAUGACCUCUCUGGUAAGUUAUUUCCACUGGGGUUGUUGAUUUAAUCAUUUGGGAUUUAAUUAUUUGGAAAUUGUAGGUUUUCUUCAUGGCUUAUCUGUAACAAUGAGAAAUAAGCAUGACAAAUUGCAACCAAGAUGUAGAUGCAACAUUAAUAACACUGUUAAGCAGAAUCAAUCGAACAGAACAUAUGCCUCCUUUACUUGCUGCAAGCUGUUUUCUUUUUCUUUGCUGCAAGCUGUUUUCUUUUUCUUUGCUGCAUUUUAGUGGCGUUCUUUUAUAAUAAUUUUAUUCCUUCGAAGUUUGAGAGAGAUUUCCAUGUCUGAAUGGAUGACAAAGAUGGACUUAAAUUCAUCAUUUGUAGGUGGAUGCUUGUUGGUGUGUUGUGGAGAAAAUCCAACAUUGUAUAAGAGGGUGUGCCAUCACUACCUGUCGAUUAUAGAUUAAAACCUUUCACAAAGGAAAUUCUUGUUGCAAUUGUAAUUUGGGGGUAAGCCCGCUUUUCCUUCUUUUCUGUCUAAUACCGUGAACUCUCAUGCAGUUAUAGGAUCAGUCGUUUAAUUUGUUUUAAGUUCUUUUCUUGAUUCUGAGAGAUACGUGAAUCAGUUUCUUCUAAACAGUGAUAGAAUUUGUUUUAAUUUUUCCCAUUUGGUGUUCUGUAUGAUUUUUAGUAGCAAAACAGAAUUUCUCUUUUUGUGUCGAGAGCCUUCUUUUGCCCUAAAAGUGGAAGUUUGAUUAUCUCCUCUCCACUUUAUAUUACGUUUUCGUUUAAAGCCCCAUCAAGCAUUUUAUCUUCAGUUUAUUUUGGUAGAAAACAUUUGAAGCGCACACGCUUUUGAACUCUCAUUGCAAGAAUUAUAUUUUAUGCCUUCUUCAUUUAUGGGUACAAUUUCAUACCUGCAUUUAGCUUAUAGUAUCUUUUCUCACUGCACCAACAUUGGAUUGCUAAUACAAUUUCCCCAAGUCCCUCAAUAUUUUUUUAAAUUUAUUAUCUAACAAUUCGCAAACUCAGGUCCCAGGCUUCCCCACUACAAAGGAUCAAAAUAUACCCACGGAAUUGGCAUCGAUGGUAAAAUUUUCUCAGUACCUGCGAUUGUAUAGAAAACUAAUAACUUUGGGCAGCUGCAAAAUCAAACAUUUUAGCCUCAAUUUGGCAAAAUCUAAAGCGAGCCCGUAUUUCGCCAAAGUUGAGUUCAUUAUAAGCUCACUGUUGUAGACACGGAGGCUCUAACCCAUGGGCAUUUGGCAAGUCUUAUAGAUCAGCUUGGUAUCAAGGGCCGGAUAAUGCUUGUGCGCAAAAAAAAGGUGUUGGAACUACAGAAAUUAUAAUUCAAAAGAGUAAUUGCCGGUAUGUGUGAAGGUAUGUUUUUCUAUCAUAUUUUGUUGCUGUCCAUAAUGCAGUUUACUCGUAAUCGAAAGGAAAGCCUAUAUCUCUCCAUUGCAGCCUGAUUUUCGGGAACUCCUGAGCAGAUCUCAGAUGUGUUCAUAUCAAUGAAAGGGGUGACUCAUUAUUUUGAUUAAUGAUUUCUUCGGACAUAAAGAAGAUUCUGUAAAUACUUACUCCAAAUCUCGCUUUUCAGGAUCUGAUGCAGAAGAAUUUUUGGAAGGAUUUUCUUCGCAGCUCUGGUCAGGCCAUUUGGUCUCAGUCGCAGUUUCUUUGUUUUUGAUUCAGCCCAGCCCGGAAUUCUAUUGUUCGACUCGGAAAAUUUUCAUUUAGGUUGGAUGUAGAAGCAUAUAUAUGCCGGCCUUGGGCUCAAAACCCGGCCUUGCCCGAAAUUGGUUCAUCGCGGCUUUUAAUGUCGUGCUAUUGAAAAUGUUAUCGUAUUAAAACCCUUUAAACAUAAUUUCUCUAUAAUAAAAAUAAAAAUUCUAAAUUAUGGGUUUUAUUUUCGAAAUGCUGGGUUUUGCGUGAGCUUUGUUGUUGUUGUUUCGCACAAAUGUUACACUCUCCUUUCAUUAGUUGAUUUUCACUCGUGAUUCGUCCUCGUUCGUGAUCUAAGCGAGUUUUUUUUUUCAUUCAAUUUGAUCCUAUCAAAGAAAACUUAGUGUCGGAAAAUCACCGCUAAUUUUUUUAAAAAAAAUAUGGCGAGUUAUUCGUUUCAUUCAUUGUAAAACUGAACUAAACAACAAGAACAAACUAGAUUGAGAUCACAAAACCGCAAAACUUAGGAAGUGCCUUUAAAAUUCUGAUCUUCUGUAUUGCGAUUGCUCGAUUUUUCUUCUUUUUUUUUCCUGAAUUGGGCACACUGACAAUUUGGUUACCACGUGCUGUUUCUUAUCUUUAUCCAAAUAUUAUAAAGUCUCAAUUCGUCUUCACGUAUCUUUAGGCUCUUUAGGCAAAAGAAUGAGAGCUUCCCAAUAAAAAUCAGAUGUUAUUGGAAAGCUGAAAAGUUAAACUGUUACGAAAUAGUAUUUAAAUAUAUUUUUUAUUUUAAUAUCAUAUUAAAUAAUUAUUAUAUUGUAAAAAUUUAAAUAAUUAAAAAAUAGUGUUUAAAUAUUUUUAUAUUUAACAUGAGUGUUUGUCGGAGAGCUCAGUGCAAUGGAUAAGCUCGAGCCCCAUUGAUUCCCCCUUCCGAUCGAAUAAACACCAUUCGUGGAAACGCACAUGGGCGACUACUUAGUCAAACCUCUUUUAAUCUUUGAAUCAUGUUUGCGUUUCCUUAUUAGCGUACGAUUUACGCGUCAAACGCGAGAGCGUUCGACGAAGUCAAGCUCGGAUGAUCACGGUCCAAAUACGAAUCCGAAGCUUCCACUGCCUCUUCCGGGAACUUUUUCUUUUUCUUUUUCUUCUUUUUUUUUUUUUUCCAAAUUAGUCUAUAAUUCAAAUUUUUAAAUUCGGCCUCUAUGAAGGGUCCACCAACAAAUUCAUAGAACCCCCUCGAUUAUAGGCUAUUUCGACAAUAUGUUUUUCGAUAAAUUUUCUUUUUUUGUGAGUGAUUACAAUCCCUUAUCGUUGUGUUUAAUCGACCCCUUUGUGGUUUUUUUAUAUUUUUAAAAAAUAAAGUAAUUAGCUACAGCUUUGAUAUUUGAUAUUAGGGGGCCAAAAACAAAUUUGUAUUACAGUAAACCAAAUAAUAAUCUAAGGGUGCGCCUACAUCAAAUUGGGCUGAAGCCAAUUAUAGUGUUUUUGAAAAGUUCGAGUUACGAACAUAUUCGUAUUACAACAGUAAACCAGAUAAUAAAAAAUAUAUAUAUUUACGAUAAAAAAAUUCCUUCAUCUCUUUUCACUUUGGAUAGAACAAACCUCCUCCCUUCUCUCCCUGAUUUUCACCAAUGAAGGUACAACAACACCCACCCCUGUUUUAUAUAGCAAUUUUUGGUCAAAAAUUGCUUUCUUAGUUAAGUUCAUUGGACAUGUCCAAUCAACUUUAGGUUAAAGAUGAUUUAAUUAAUAGUGAUCAGACCAAUUUCUUGAUGAAUAUGUUGACUUAAACCAUAAGAAGAACCAUUCUCUAACUAUUGAAUAUAAAAUAUAUAAGCGUCGUUCUCUUAUAGCUUAAAUUUUCAGAGAUAAACGAUUAUUUUAUACAAUUUAAUACGGUAUCAGUGCAGUGAAUCAUGAAUUCGAGACCCGCAAGACUCUUAACAUUAUUUAGUUUUCUCCCCUUUUUAUUAAGUCUACGUUUUGAGUAUAUUAAAAAGUUUCGAGUCCAAAUAAGAAGAGGCUUGUUAUUUUGAAGAUAAAUAAUUAUUUUAUAUAAUUUAACACUCACCCUAAUCAAAUCAUAUUAUUUUAAUAUAUAGAACUCAUGGCGCACACGUUUUGACAGUGUUUUCUUAAAAAGCAAUUAAGAAACAAUUGAGGGCAAAAGGAUUUAAUUUGGUCAGGGUGUCAACAUCAACAAAUGCAGUACUAAAUUGCCCUUUAUAAUUUAUUUUAUAUAUUAAGCUAAGAUGCUAGUAUUAUAUUUUUGGGAUGGUUCUAUCCUAAUUAGCACCUAAUGAUUAUUUGUAAGGUAAAUUACACUUUGGUCCUCAAACCAUGAGAGGCGUGACGCUUUAGUCCUCGGACUUUAAUUCGUUGCCCAUGGACUAAACAUUGUGCAUGACACUUUAAUCCUCAAAUUUUAAUUAGUUAUAAUUUUUUAUUCGAACUAUAAAGCAUGCGACAUUUUAGUCCUUGGACAUUUUGAAUUGUUGUAAUUAAAUUUCUUAAUACAAUUUUUUUAAUAAAUAUUAAUGAAUUUACAAAUAUCGAAAAAUUAUAAUAUUUUAAUUAUUAUUGUAUCAUCAAGUAAGAUAUUACUACAAUUCAAAAAAUUUGAGGAUUAAAAUAUCUUAUACCUCAUAUAGUUCGAAUAAAAAAUUAUAACUAAUUAAAAUUUAAGAAAUAAAAUAUCAGGCAUCUCACAAUUUAAGAACCAAAAGUGCAAUUUACCUUUAUUUUUAUGUUAUCAUUUUUGUAACCUAGUAUCUAACAAUGCUUUUGUUCUUUUUGCUUUUUCCUGUCCUUUUUUUUUUUUUGCUGAAGUAAAUCUUUUCUGAGAUAUCCAAAACUAUAAACUGUCAAAUAGUGUCAUCAAUAUUUUUGCAUGCACAAAUAUCUAACUUUUGAUUUCUAUAGUAGAGUAAAUAAUGCUCUUCUAGUCCGUGCUUCGAAGAUAGACGACAUAUAAAAUAUUAUUUCUCCGCAGUUUUAACUUGUUCAUCACAAUAAUUAUUUAUUGACGUCAGAAACCAAAAUAUCCCUUCAAUUGAAUUAGGUUGUUUUCUAAUUUUUAUGUUUGAUUUAGUAAUUAAAAAUAGAUUAAAAACACAAAUAAAUCUCAUAUAAAUUAAUAUCCAUUUUUUAUUUAUUUCGCCUAACUUCAAACAAUUUAUAUUUUACCCUAUCAAAAUUCAAGAAAAUACGCUUACUUUCAAGAAGAAAAACAUAAUUGUUUAAUUUAUUUCUAUACUUUAAGUGAUAUUUUACGGUUAUACAAUCAAAAACAAAUGGAACACGUGAUGAGCCCUGGGAGAAGAUAGCAAAUAUCAAACUUAAAAUUUACAACAUGAUAAAAAAAUGUUAAAUAUAAAAGUAUUAAAUAAUUAUCUCUACUUCUAAGUUUUUAGAGAAUAACGAGACUGUUUCGUAUAAUUAACAAAUAUCAAAUUGCUGAAAAUGUAGAAAGACAAAAACAAAAUGUCAAUGACGAUUUUUUUAUAUCUUAACUCUAAAAAAAACAGCUAAACUAUUAAAGAGAAAUUUAUGAACAUAAGUAAAAUGUUAAAUAAUCUUUUUUUUCUUCUCAUUUUGAGAGGUAAGACGCCCAAAAGCAGCAGUAAAACCAAAAGGUUUCAUAACCUUCACAUUUCCCCCUUUUUUUUUUUUUUUGGUAAACUUCAAAUACCACUCCGGUGGUUUCGCACUUUCUCACUUUAGUACCUUUUAGUUUAAAGUGUAUUAAUUCAGUACCCUGUCGUAUCAUUUUUUUUUUUUUCGUCAGCUCCUCCGUUAACAUUUCGUUAAAUUAUAUACAAAAAAUUUCAGAUAGCCUACCUAAAUUUAUUAAAUAUUCACUUUUAGUACCUUUUAGUUUUACCUUUGUCACUGAUUUAACAAAAAAAAAUUAAUAAAUAAGAUAAUAAAAAGAAAAUAAUAAAAUAAUAAAAUACAAAAUUAAUAUACUUUAAACUACAAAAUAUUAAAAUAAAAGAAUACGAAAUAACCAAAAUAGUAUUUAAAUUUUUUUUUUUUUUUGGUUUUUCUUUUGGCCUUCUCUUUUUUGGCCUCUGUUUGGGUCAAAGUAGCCGUCCAAACAAAGGCUGCGUCCUACAGCUUUUUCGAGAAGCCCUUUUGCAACUCCAAAUGACUCUUCUUUGCAUUGAGGGUUAAAAAAACAAAAAAAAGAAAAAUUUCAAAUAUUAUCUCUGUGAUUUCAAUUUUUUCCACUUUAAUAUUUUAUAAUUUAAAGUGUAUCAAUUUAGAAUUCUGUAAUUUUUUUCUUUUUUUAUUAUCGAUUUUACUUUUUUUUUGUUAAAUCAGUGACAAAGUUAAAAUUAAAAGGUACUAAAGUGAAUAUUUGAUAAAUCUAGGUGUGAUAUCUGAAAUUUUUUUGCAUAUAAUUUAACGAAAUAUUAACGAAAAAAAUAAUGAAAAGAUAAAAAUGAAACCAUAGGACACUAAUUUGAUACACUUUAAAUCACAUAAUACUAAAAUGAGAAAGAGCGAAAUCACAAUAGUGGUAUUUGGAGUUUACCAAAAGCAAAAGUGCUCACUAAUUAUUAGUGUACUAAUGCCAUUUGGGUAAAAGAGAUGAACUAUAUAUAAUUAAAUACUAAAAUUAUUUUAAUUUCUUUACCUUUUUCUUUUUGCUUUAUUUCCUCUUAUAAGCAUGUGCUUUUUCUGCGGAAUAAGUACUUACACUUUUUUUCUUUUUUUUUUUGAGAGAUAGAUAGAUAGCACGCUACCCGCUUCGUUUAUUUCAUUUAGAAAUAAAUUUAGCUAGAAAUGUGAAUUAACUAGGAUUCGAACUUGGGUCUCGAGUACCAACUACCAAGCCUUUUUGCCACUUGCGCUAGGAACGGUCGGUAUAAGUACUUACACUUAAAAAUGGUGUGGCGGGGUAUCCAUUUUUUUAAAUUUUUUAAAAAGUAUGAAAAAAUAAUUAUAAAAAAAAUUAUGAUUUUUUUUCUUCAGUGUUCCUUCGUCUGAUUUAAGAAAAAUUGAUUUUUAAAAUUAUUUUUAUAAUUUACAGAAAACUGGUGUUUUCGUUUCCCUAAAAAAAAAAAAAGAAACAUUAAUUUUCCAAAAAAUCUGAAAAAAAAAAGUUUUCAAAAAAAUUAAUGAUUUUUAGAACCACACAGAUGAAAAGUUGAAAAAAAAAAAUAAUUCCAUGAAAAACUUUUUUCUAGAAAAAUAUUUUUUUCAUAUUUUCUUGAAAAAAAUUCUAUUAAGUCCCGGAGACAUAUGCGACCAAUCUAGUAGUUGGUGGGUGUAAUUGUUGACGAGCAACAAAGGGGAUCGCUUAGAGAAAUUACUGCUUCAAUUAAAUUCGUCAUGCCUCGAUUUUGAAUAACAGAUUUUAAAUUUGAAUCCUGCAAAAUUAUAUAAUAUUGAGACUUUAUAUAAUAUAAAUUACUUUAAGAAAUUAUUUGAGAAGCAAGGUCAAUUAUAAGACAUUUGCUUNAAAAAAUCUUAAAUUAUCAUUAUAUUUAUGUUAUAUAAUAAUAUAAUAAUAUAUUUGUAUAAUAAUGAGUGAAUAGCAAAUAUAUACCUAUAAAGUUAAACUUUCAUAUAUUUUUUCUGCAAAAGUUCUAAUAUUUUUAAAUAUGUUCUUCUGAUUUGUUACCAUUGAAAAACUAUUUAUAUUUUUAAUUUUACCAAAAAAUAUGUCUCUGCACAAGUCAUAACACUAUAAUAUAAUACAAGUAAAAAUGUCAAAAUUUAAUCAGGGUUAAGUAUUUAACCUAUAGUUAACUAAAUUUUUUUAACGAAUUCUAACAAUAGGAAUAUAUUUGAAAACAUGAGGACUUUUACAGUGACAAUAUAUGAAAGUUGAAUUUUAUGAAAUUAUAUUUAUUAUUCACUAUAUUUGCAGAAACCUGUAUUAAAUUAACCUUAUAAUAUAAUACACAUUAAUUAAUUUACAGUGUAUGGUUGAUACCUGAGAGCUUGGUGGUUGGUAACCGAGGUUUUAAGUUCGAUUUCUAAUUGAUUCAUAUUUUCAGCUAAAUUUAUUUCUAAAUAAAAUAAACGAAGCAGAAAGCAUGCUACCUAUCUCUCUCAAAAAAAAUUAUAGUCCGUGGUUGGUAAGUCGUACAAAUAUGUGAGACAUGUUAAUUAAAUAGAAAGGUAGGUGUUACCAUCCGGGGACUUUUUUUAUAACCCUUCUUCAUGUCCUCAUCACUACAUCUUUAAUUAUCCAUCAAAAUAUAAUUAUUUUUUUCCUUACAAACUAACAUUUUUAGUUUCUAAACUAUGAGUCAGCGCGGCAUUUUGAUUUUUUAACUUUAAUUUGUUACAAUAAUAUUUUAUUUUGAUGUUUCAAAUUAUUUUAAUUAUGUUUUAAAAUUUAAUUUAUUUGAGUAAAUGCUGAUGUUUCAUUAAUAUAAAAGUGAUGUCACAAUAUAAUAUAAUAAUUAAAAAUAUAAUAUUAUUUUUAUAUUAAUUACACGUUAAUAUUUAAUUAAUUAAUUAUAAUAAAGUAAAAUUUAAUGCCCACCAAAAGUUUAAUUCAAACGUCCCUUCUUUGUGACGUGGCACUUUUUUAUUGGGCCAAAAUUUGGACCGGGGUGUCACACAUUCCACGUCGUAAGAAAGGUACCAAAUCCAUACCCAAACCUAUUUAAAAUAAAUAAAUUGUUAAGGAUACUUCUGAAUGUACCCCAAAAUAUAGUUUAUUAUAGUCAUUUUUUCUGAUGGUAAACUUUAAAUACCACUUUCGUGGUUUCGCAUUUUCUCACUUUAGUAAUUUGUGAUUUAAAAUGUACCAAUUUAGUAUCCUAUGGUUUCAUCUUUUUUUUUUUCGUCAGUCUCUCUGUUAAUUUUUUGUUAAAUCAUAUAUAAAAAACUUCAUAUACCCCACCUAUAGUUUAUUGAAUAUUCACUUUAAUGUUACUUAGUUUUAAUUUUAUUACUGAUUUAACGAAAAUAUUAGUGGAGGGGAUAAUAAGAAGAGAAAAAUAAAAUCAUAAGGUACGAAAGUGAUACACUUUGAAUUAUAGGGUACUAAAGUAAGAAAUUACGAAAUCACAGAAGUGGUACAUGAAGUUUUUUUCAAAAAUUUUUUUUUUAUCAAACUUAUCUACCUCUCAUGUCACGUUUGAAAUUUAAGACAUAGUGAAAACGAUGGUAACUAUGACAGUAUAUUUGUCUAAAUAAAAUUUAAUUUUCUUAUAACAUCUGCAAAUGAAACGAGUUUAAGCUUUUGUUAAACAAAAAGUAAAAAUAUACUCUUAAGGUCUAAAUGUUGCAUCCUAAUCAACCACAAUGCUUCUAUUUUAUUGCAAAAAAAAAAAAAUUAUCUAAAAACAUUUGAAAUGUAU
rnacentral:lncRNA from 1 species